CCUACGGGAGGCAGCAGUAAGGAAUAUUGGUCAAUGGGCGCAAGCCUGAACCAGCCAUGCCGCGUGCAGGAAGACGGCCCUAUGGGUUGUAAACUGCUUUUGAACAAGAGAAAACCUCGGUACGUGUACCGAGCUGAUAGUAUUGUUAGAAUAAGCAUCGGCUAACUUCGUGCCAGCAGCCGCGGUAAGACGAAGGAUGCAAGCGUUAUCCGGAUUCAUUGGGUUUAAAGGGUGCGUAGGCGGCCUGAUAAGUCAGUGGUGAAAUCUCUCAGCUUAACUGAGAAACUGCCAUUGAUACUGUCGGGCUUGAGUACAGAUGAUGUGGGCGGAAUAUGACAUGUAGUGGUGAAAUACUUAGAUAUGUCAUAGAACACCGAUUGCGAAGGCAGCUCACAAAACUGUAAACUGACGCUGAGGCACGAAAGUGCGGGGAUCGAAACAGGAUUAGAUACCCUGGUAGUCCGCACCGUAAACGAUGAUUACUCGUUGUUGGCAUAUGACCGUCAGCGACCAAGCGAAAGCGANAAGUAAUCACCUGGGGAGUCGCGGCACGGUGAACUUAAGGAAUUGACGGNGNGAGAGNGCGAGGNGACACGAGGGAGAG
rnacentral:rRNA from 1 species